CUCAUUACCCUAAAACCACAGGUUUCCGCAAAGUCGUAAGACCAUGUAUGGGGGCUGACGCUUGCCCUGUGUCGGAAGGUCAAGGAAGUUGAUGACCUGAUGACGAGGGAGUCGACGAUCGAAGCCCCGGUGGACGAAGACUGUAACUAUAACAGUCCUAAGGUAGGGAAAUUUCUUGUCGGGUAAGUUCCAACCCGCACAAAAGGCGUAA
rnacentral:ncRNA from 1 species